GACUGUUUACAGAAGACUAUUGAAUUGCACAGGAUUGAUGAUUAAAAGAUUCAACUACAGUUCAAUGAGGAUCAACAUAUUGUGAUGCCAAUAUUGCGCACUUGAGUAGGAAGAUCAAAAUGUUUGUAGUAAAUGGACAUAAGUAAAUAGCGUGCCUUCAAAUUGACCAACAUUUCUGAAGUGAAGGAUGACAACUUAGCCUCUAUUUGUUGGGAAAUUUUAUAGCCAUGUUUGAACCUAAAGAACAGAUAUACAAAACCUGAAUGACAGAUACAUGUAAAAUAAUAAGACAUGAUAAAUAUAAGAAGACUCUGAACAAUCUGAAAACUGUAAAUUCAGGAAUUACAUGUAUGUUACAGAAGUUUUUAAAAGCAUUUGAAUGUUGAGAUUGGUUGAGUAUCUCAAUGAUAAGAACUUGCAUUCUGAAAUCAGAAUUUGGAAGAGCUUUUCCUUUAUUAGCAUAAAUAAAUCUCUAAUUUGGUCAGUUACUUUUAAAAAUAUUAUAAUAAAUGAAUGCAAUAAUUA